rnacentral:rRNA from 1 species
AUUGAACGCUGGCGGCAGGCCUAACACAUGCAAGUCGAACGGUAGCACAGAGAGCUUGCUCUCGGGUGACGAGUGGCGGACGGGUGAGUAAUGUCUGGGAAACUGCCCGAUGGAGGGGGAUAACUACUGGAAACGGUAGCUAAUACCGCAUAACGUCGCAAGACCAAAGUGGGGGACCUUCGGGCCUCACACCAUCGGAUGUGCCCAGAUGGGAUUAGCUAGUAGGUGGGGUAAUGGCUCACCUAGGCGACGAUCCCUAGCUGGUCUGAGAGGAUGACCAGCCACAGUGGAAUUGGGAAACGGUCCAGAGUCCUACGGGAGGCAGCAGUGGGGAAUAUUGCACAAUGGGCGCAAGCCUGAUGGAGCCAUGCCGCGUGUAUGAAGAAGGCCUUCGGGUUGUAAAGUACUUUCAGCGGGGAGGAAGGCGGUGAAGUUAAUAACUUCACCGAUUGACGUUACCCGCAGAAGAAGCACCGGCUAACUCCGUGCCAGCAGCCGCCGCCG